rnacentral:rRNA from 1 species
UACGGAGGGUGCAAGCGUUAUCCGGAUUCACUGGGUUUAAAAGGGUGCGUAGGUGGGUUGGUAAGUCAGUGGUGAAAUCCCCCGAGCUUAACUUGGGAACUGCCAUUGAUACUAUCAGUCUUGAAUACCGUGGAGGUCAGUGGAAUAUGUCAUGUAGCGGUGAAAUGCUUAGAUAUGACAUAGAACACCAAUUGCGAAGGCAGCUGGCUACACGAAUAUUGACACUGAGGCACGAAAGCGUGGGGAUCAAACAGG